GACAUCAUACAAGUCUUCAGAGAAGCCUGGUGUGACAAGUGAUUCAACAAUGGCAAAAACAGCAGCAGAAAGGCAAAGAGAGUACAGGGCAAGAAGAAAUGCUGAUCCAGAACGAAGGGAAAAGUACCUCAGGAGUGAACGCAUGAGAUGGACAAAAUAUGUUUUAGCAAGAAAGAAGAAAGGAAUAGGAGAUCUAGAUAAGAGAGGUCAAAAGAUGAGGAGAAAGGGAUGGAGAAAAGCGAAGGAGCGGCAAAAGCAAAGGGAAAUGGCUGUUAAUACUAUUGCCACCGCUCCACAAAGUCCUGAUAGAGACGUGGUGAUGUCACAUGAGCCCACAAGGUUAGGAAAAAGAUUGUGUGUGAGAGAGAGAGAGAGAGAGAGAGA